rnacentral:rRNA from 1 species
AUACGUAGGGUGCGAGCGUUAAUCGGAAUUACUGGGCGUAAAGCGUGCGCAGGUGGUUUUGUAAGUCAGAUGUGAAAUCCCCGGGCUUAACCUGGGAACUGCGUUUGAAACUGCAAGGCUAGAGUGUGGCAGAGGGGGGUGGAAUUCCGCGUGUAGCAGUGAAAUGCGUAGAUAUGUGGAGGAACACCGAUGGCGAAGGCAGCCCCCUGGGUCAGCACUGACGCUCAGGCACGAAAGCAUGGGGAGCAAACAGGAUUAGAUACCCGAGUAGUCC